rnacentral:rRNA from 1 species
GGGUGAGUAAUGCCUAGGAAUCUGCCUGGUAGUGGGGGAUAACGUUCGGAAACGGACGCUAAUACCGCAUACGUCCUACGGGAGAAAGCAGGGGACCUUCGGGCCUUGCGCUAUCAGAUGAGCCUAGGUCGGAUUAGCUAGUUGGUGGGGUAAUGGCUCACCAAGGCGACGAUCCGUAACUGGUCUGAGAGGAUGAUCAGUCACACUGGAACUGAGACACGGUCCAGACUCCUACGGGAGGCAGCAGUGGGGAAUAUUGGACAAUGGGCGAAAGCCUGAUCCAGCCAUGCCGCGUGUGUGAAGAAGGUCUUCGGAUUGUAAAGCACUUUAAGUUGGGAGGAAGGGUUGUAGAUUAAUACUCUGCAAUU